UACGUAGGUGACAAGCGUUGUCCGGAUUUACUGGGCGUAAAGAGCGCGCAGGCUGUCGAUCAAGUCGAGUGUGAAAGCCCCCGGCUCAACUGGGGAGGGUCAUUCGAUACUGAUCGACUCGAAGGCAGGAGAGGGUAGUGGAAUUCCCGGUGUAGUGGUGAAAUGCGUAGAUAUCGGGAGGAACACCAGUGGCGAAGGCGACUACCUGGCCUGUUCUUGACGCUGAGGCGCGAAAGCGAGGGGAGCAAACGGG
rnacentral:rRNA from 1 species